ensembl:snRNA U6 U6 spliceosomal RNA
UUGCUUCAGCAGCAUAUAUGCCAAAGCUGGAAUGAUAGAGAAGAUGAGCAUAGUCCAUGUUCAAGAAUGAUAUGUAAAUUCAUGAUUAAUUUCAUAUUUUU